rnacentral:sRNA from 1 species
ACUCUUUAGCGUAUAAGCAAUUUGCUUCGUCGGGCGUUUCGCUAGACACAAACUUAUUGAUUAGA